AUCAUCUUCAUCUGGACUCUCACAGCGUUUGCUCAAGAGUGUAGAGGACAGAUCACCGUCACUCAGAGUCCCUCAAUGACAGCAGCUCAACCAGGACAAACUGUGAACAUCAACUGUAAAACCAGCACAGAUGUGUAUUAUAGUAGUUCUUAUGGACAUUAUUUAGCCUGGUACUUACAGAAACCUGGAGAAGCUCCUAAACUCCUGAUUUAUUUAGCAAGCACCCUCCAGUCAGGAACUCCAUCUAGAUUCAGUGGCAGUGGAUCUAACAGUGAUUUCACUCUGACCAUCAGUGGAGUCCAGACUGAAGAUGCUGGACAUUAUUACUGUAUGAGUGAACACUGUCCUAGUAGCUGUGUGUUCACACAGUGAUGAAGAGUCGUACAAAAACCUCCGUCAGUCAGAGUCACAGUGACUGAACUGAUACUGCAGCUGCUCAA